GGCUCAGAUCGAACGCUGGCGGCGCGCCUAAUACAUGCAAGUCGAGCGAGAAGACGUAGCAAUACGUUUGUAAAGCGGCGAACGGGUGAGGAAUACAUGGGUAACCUACCCUAGAGUGGGGAAUAACUAGCCGAAAGGUUAGCUAAUACCGCGUACGCUUCUUGGACUUCGGUUCAGGGAGGAAAGCGCUACCGAGGGUAGCGCGCUCUUGGAUGGGCUCAUGUCCUAUCAGCUUGUUGGUGAGGUAAUGGCUCACCAAGGCUUCGACGGGUAGCUGGUCUGAGAGGACGAUCAGCCACACUGGCACUGCGACACGGGCCAGACUCCUACGGGAGGCAGCAGUGAGGAAUAUUGCGCAAUGGGCGAAAGCCUGACGCAGCGACGCCGCGUGGGGGAUGAAGGUCUUCGGAUUGUAAACCCCUUUCGGGAGGGAAGAUGGGAUGGGUAACCAUUCGGACGGUACCUCCAGAAGCAGCCACGGCUAACUUCGUGCCAGCAGCCGCGGUAAUACGAAGGUGGCAAGCGUUGUUCGGAUUUACUGGGCGUACAGGGAGCGUAGGCGGUUGGGUAAGCCCUCCGUGAAAUCUCCAGGCUUAACCUGGAAAGUGCAGAGGGGACUGCUCAGCUAGAGGAUGGGAGAGGAGCGCGGAAUUCCCGGUGUAGCGGUGAAAUGCGUAGAGA
rnacentral:rRNA from 1 species